rnacentral:rRNA from 1 species
UACGGAGGGUGCAAGCGUUGUCCGGAUUUAUUGGGUUUAAAGGGUGCGUAGGUGGCUGUUUAAGUCAGUGGUGAAAGCCUGCAGCUUAACUGUAGGACUGCCAUUGAUACUGAAUAGCUUGAGUACUGAUGAGGUAGGCGGAAUUGAUAGUGUAGCGGUGAAAUGCAUAGAUAUUAUCAAGAACACCGAUUGCGAAGGCAGCUUACUAAGGAGUUACUGACACUGAGGCACGAAAGCGUGGGGAUCAAACAGG